rnacentral:rRNA from 1 species
AUGAAGAACGUAGCGAAAUGCGAUACUUGGUGUGAAUUGCAGAAUCCCGUGAACCAUCGAGUCUUUGAACGCAAGUUGCGCCCGGAGCCGUCAGGCCGAGGGCACGUC